CCCUUAGAUGUUCUGGGCCGUACGCGCGCUACACUGACGAAUGCAACGAGCUUAUAACCUUGGCCGAAAGGUCUGGGUAAUCUCCAAAUUUCGUCGUGAUGGGGAUAGAUUAUUGCAAUUAUUAAUCUUCAACGAGGAAUGCCUAGUAAGCGCAAGUCAUCAGCUUGCGUUGAUUACGUCCCUGCCCUUUGUACACACCGCCCGUCGCUCCUACCGAUUGAAUGGUCCGGUGAAGCGUUCGGACCGUGGCCUUUGGACGGUUCGCCGUCUGUUGGCUGCGGGAAGUUCGUUAAACCUUAUCAUUUAGAGGAAGGAGAANUCGUANCA
rnacentral:rRNA from 1 species